rnacentral:tRNA from 1 species
GCCUGGGUGGCUCAGUCGGUUGAGCUCCUGACUCUUGAUUUCAACUCAGGUCAUGAUCCCAGAGUCAUGGGAUUGAGUCCCAUGUCAGGCU